UACGGAGGGGGCUAGCGUUGUUCGGAAUUACUGGGCGUAAAGCGCACGUAGGCGGCUUUGCAAGUUAGAGGUGAAAGCCCGGGGCUCAACUCCGGAAUUGCCUUUAAAACUGCAUCGCUAGAAUUGUGGAGAGGUAAGUGGAAUUCCGAGUGUAGAGGUGAAAUUCGUAGAUAUUCGGAAGAACACCAGUGGCGAAGGCGACUUACUGGACACAUAUUGACGCUGAGGUGCAAAAGCGUGGGGAGCAAACAGG
rnacentral:rRNA from 1 species